GACACUCGAUGGAGUUCUCACUACAAGACUCUUAAGAGUUUGACUGAUAUGUUCCCUACAAUUGUCAAAGUGCUAGAAUAUGUGGAAGAAGAAGACAUGGAUGAUACAAAUAGAAGGCAAGCAUGUGGUCUUAUUGUUUAUUCCCAGUCUUUUGAUUUUGUGUUCUACUUGCAGCUUAUGCCCACUAUAUUGAUAAUCACAAACACAUUAUCAUUGGCUCUACAAUGGAAGAAUCAAGACAUCGUGAAUGCCAUUAAUUGUGUGAAUUCAACCAAAUCCUCUUCGAAUGAUCUAAGGAGAGAUGGAUGGGAUUCUGUCCUACAUGAAGCAUAUGUCUUUUGUGACAAGCAUGACAUUUCCAAGUUGGAAACGGAAGACCAAUAUGUGAAUCCAAACAAGCCAUGG
rnacentral:rRNA from 1 species